UUUCUUGUCACCACACAAACGUAGUGCCAGCGAUCACAAGUUGCACUGUAACCAUCCCAGUAAAUUCAAUUAAUUUCAUGGGCUCGGGCUUUGGCUCUGGAGGUUUCGGGAUAGGGGAUAUGAUCUCAACUUUACGACCGGUUUCAUCGAGUUGAAGGUGACGAUAAACACAAGGACAAUUGAAGGAUGAAAUACUAGCCAAAGGCAUGGUAUCUAUUAUGUAGAUUCUACAUUCAUUAGAGCAUCUGCAACACAAGGUACUUUAAUCCACGGGGGGAGAGAGGCCAAGUACUUUGUUAGUUUUCAAGGAAAUAGUCAUUGGCCACAAACCGUUCUUGGAGGAGUAAGAGUGUUUUGUGAGAGAGGGAUGAGAGAGAGGGCGAGGAUGUCUGUGUAGGUUUGUGGCUUUCGGUCUAUUGCAAAUGCUCUUAGGUGUUACGGGAGAUGGUUGAUGUUGAUGAAAUAAUUGUUUCAUUUAUGUCAUUAGUUGUGAGAAAAAUAUAAGGACCAUAUCACAACUCGACUAUAACAAAAGCAAGCUUAUACCUUUUGUAGGUAGGAAGGUACAUAAAAGAUCAUUUUAGAAGCUCUAAGUUUUAGAAGUUAAUCAUCAUCCAAGUGGGUUUACAUGUGGACGAAAUAAACAUGGAAAAGAGAAGAUAAGUUAAGGGGUAUUAUUUAAUAGUUAUUUAAAAGUUUAGAGUCAUCUAUUAAGAUUUUGUUUAUUUUAAUGUUAGUUAAUUAUUUGAGUCCUACUUGAAGCUUAGGUUUGGGAUUGUUUAAUCAUGUAAUCGUUUUAUGUGUGUGGGUAUUUUUUGGUAUUGAAUACAUAAGAAAAGAGUCGUGGAUAGGUUUUGCACAAUACAUCCAAGUAUCUGUUUACUGAUCAUCAAGAUUGUUGCGUGCCCACAAGGGCAUAAGAGUAAUUUUAACUCUAAGAACCUUAGAAGGGAAAAGAAUGAAUGAGCCAUCAUCAUUCUUGCAAAAAAAAAAAAAAAAAAAAAAAAACUUCACCAAGCUAGAUUAAGAAACUAAUGAGAGAAAAGGGGCGAUUUUAGGUGAACAGAUUCGAGUAAGGGCUCAAAGGAACAUUAGCGGUCCACAUUCAUAUCGUCUUGUACUCGGAGCUUACGAAAAAGAGUUUAGUUCACCAUAAAGUUUGCUUGCCUUGUAAGUUUUCUCUUAUAAGAUUAUUUAUAAAGAUAUUGAUGCAUUUCGGCCCAUAAAGUUGCAAUCUCAUGUUUAAACCAAGCGAUAAUGGUUAUGCCUGCCAUGGAUGAAAGUUUUAGGGUUUCUGCUCGAAGUUUCAUCCAACUGUUCUGGCGCUUAACUAAUUUUGGCAAAACUAUGUCACUAGCGAAAUUUUCCUUUCAGUGAACUUUCUUGGUAGCGAAACCUAUAUUAGGCGAAACCAACGUUUCACUGUAAUGCUUCAAAUGAAACCUAUUCAGAGGAGAAAACUAGUUUCAAUAAUGUGUUUAUUCGAACCCUAUUCUUCUUGCCUAAUUGUUUAGGAGAAACCUAUGUUUCACGUUAAUGUACUUUGUGUUAGGCAAUAGUUGACCCAUUUCUCUUAAAAACGUUUAAAAGGUCAACUAAGGGUUGCUACGGGUUAGAUUAGUUCGGUAAAUAGUGAAGUAUAGCAUUUGAUCAUGUGAUUUCUAGGCACCUUUUUCUUAAAUAAGUUUGAGCUUAUAUGCAUGCUUAGGAAAUGUGUUCAUUAAAAUGAUUGUGAAUUAACACUAGGCACAAGGUAAAUGGAAUAAUGAAUUGUUUAAAAUGUUCAUGUCUAUAAAACUGUUAAUGUCAUACGGAUGAUAACGUUUAAUGUUUUGAAUGGAAAUAAUGUUUUUAACAAAGAAUGUUAUUUCUUGAAAUGUGAACGGUAAAGAUUUAGGACAAACAAAAUUGUAAGGAAUAGUUUUGGGAACAACGUUAUGUAUAAGGGACAUGGAAAUGGUAAAGGUAAAGGAAAUGGAAGUCAUUCAAGUGUUGUAGGGAGGGACGGUAAAGUCCUAUAUUUGUUGUUGACAGGUACGGUAAAAUCCUGUACUGAUAAUAACAGGAAUGAUAAAAAGGUAACGAUUAUAAUUUAUGGUACGAGAUAGGGUUGUGAGGUUUUAAAAAGUCUAACAGUAAUGCAAAAGCUUUAGGAUUUUUUACAUUUAGUAAUAGAACUCACUUAUGUAUGUCAAGUUGAAUCAGGUAUAGGGCGGUGAUAUAAUGGCUAGCUCCUUAGCAGGGUCUUGAAGUUACUUGGCAUCUUAUGGACUGGUAUCCCUAGUUAUGUAGUUAUGUUUGAACUAUUGGUAUUGGAUUAUGUUUUAAUUUGUUUGGUUUUAUAUUGUUAAAUGUUUCCACUGCUUUAGCUUAGAAAAUUUUUACCUAAGAGCUAUGUAUGCUAUGAUUUUUUAGUUAUGAGGUCUCGUGGGUUUGGGGCCUUAUAAAAAAAGGAAAUGAAUAUUGAUCAAGUAUUAAAGAUUUCUGCUAGUAGCAUGUUGCUAUCGAAACAAUAACUUUGAUAACAUUAGAAGUUGGUCAAUCCAAGUAAGAAUAAGAACUCAAGUUGUUUCUUUUUUUCUUCAAUAACAAGAACAAAAAACAACAUAAGGAUGGUUCUUUUGGCAGAAUGAAACCAACAUAUAAUUUAGAAAAUAAACAGGUACCUGGGUUUUCUUAUGGCAAAAAUACAUUAUCAAUAGCUGACUAGUUUUCUUUUGCAUAAUCAUUAGCAAUAGGUUAAGCAUUAUGGUCAAUGAGAUGAUUAACCUUUUUGCGUAGGGUUUUGAAUAUUUAGAUCAAGGAGGAUAUUGGGUCUAUAACUAUGAAGUUUGACCAAGAAGAUGAUGGAACCUAUUUAAUGGCAGAGUUAAAGUCAGGUUGAAAACAAAUCAAGAAUCAUCACAAAAGAAAGGAAAGGAACGGUUGUUAGACUAGCUAGAGAGCAAGGUAGCAUAUAGUUGCAAUUUACAAAGUUAUGAAGAACCACUUACACUUUUUGUGCAAUAUUUUUUAGACGAUUACAAAGGAACAAAUCCUUUGGGAGGUGAUGGAUGAGAUAACAGGCUCAAUUGU
rnacentral:lncRNA from 1 species